ACAUUUCUAGCUUGCUAGAAGAUGACGAGCGGCGGACGGGUGAGUAAUGCUUGGGAAUAUGCCUUAGGGUGGGGGACAACAGUUGGAAACGACUGCUAAUACCGCAUAACGUCUACGGACCAAAGGGGGCUUCGGCUCUCGCCCUUAGAUUAGCCCAAGUGGGAUUAGCUAGUUGGUGAGGUAAUGGCUCACCAAGGCGACGAUCCCUAGCUGGUUUGAGAGGAUGAUCAGCCACACUGGAACUGAGACACGGUCCAGACUCCUACGGGAGGCAGCAGUGGGGAAUAUUGCACAAUGGGCGCAAGCCUGAUGCAGCCAUGCCGCGUGUGUGAAGAAGGCCUUAGGGUUGUAAAGCACUUUCAGUAAGGAGGAAAGGUUAGUAGUUAAUACCUGCUAACUGUGACGUUACUUACAGAAGAAGCACCGGCUAACUCCGUGCCAGCAGCCGCGGUAAUACGGAGGGUGCGAGCGUUAAUCGGAAUUACUGGGCGUAAAGCGUACGCAGGCGGUUUGUUAAGCGAGAUGUGAAAGCCCCGGGCUCAACCUGGGAACUGCAUUUCGAACUGGCAAGCUAGAGUAUGAUAGAGGGUGGUAGAAUUUCA
rnacentral:rRNA from 1 species